UACACACCGCCCGUCACACCAUGGGAGUUGACUGCACCAGAAGUAGGUAGCCUAACCGCAAGGGGGCGCUUACCACGGUGUGGUCAAUGACUGGGGUG
rnacentral:rRNA from 1 species